rnacentral:rRNA from 1 species
CGAACGCUGGCGGCGUGCUUAACACAUGCAAGUCGAACGGAAAGGCCCUGCUUUUGUGGGGUGCUCGAGUGGCGAACGGGUGAGUAACACGUGAGUAACCUGCCCUUGACUUUGGGAUAACUUCAGGAAACUGGGGCUAAUACCGGAUAGGAGCUCCUGCUGCAUGGUGGGGGUUGGAAAGUUUCGGCGGUUGGGGAUGGACUCGCGGCUUAUCAGCUUGUUGGUGGGGUAGUGGCUUACCAAGGCUUUGACGGGUAGCCGGCCUGAGAGGGUGACCGGCCACAUUGGGACUGAGAUACGGCCCAGACUCCUACGGGAGGCAGCAGUGGGGAAUAUUGCACAAUGGGCGGAAGCCUGAUGCAGCAACGCCGCGUGCGGGAUGACGGCCUUCGGGUUGUAAACCGCUUUCGCCUGUGACGAAGCGUGAGUGACAGUAAUGGGUAAAGAAGCACCGGCUAACUACGUG